GACGAAGGAUGCAAGCGUUAUCCGGAUUCAUUGGGUUUAAAGGGUGCGUAGGCGGCUUAGUAAGUCAGUGGUGAAAUCUCCAGGCUUAACUUGGAAAUUGCCAUUGAUACUGCAAAGCUUGAGUACAGAUGAUGUUGGCGGAAUGUGUCAUGUAGCGGUGAAAUGCAUAGAUAUGACACAGAACACCGAUUGCGAAGGCAGCUGACAAAACUGUAACUGACGCUGAGGCACGAAAGUGCGGGGAUCAAACAGG
rnacentral:rRNA from 1 species